AUUAGAGGAGGAGUUAUUUUAAUAAAAAAAAUAGCUAUCCUGCUGCAGGUGGUUUCUUUUCAGCCAGUAAUAAUAUAAAUAAUUAUCUACAUCUGUGCAGUAUGGUGGCUUAUGUACUUCCGUUUCAUUUUUAUUGGCUCCUCAAAGGAAAGAAACUUGAUAUUUUUAAUUAAUUCUCUGAAUUAAAUUAUAUCUCUUGCUUCACUUUGUAGAGUCAUUAUGCUGGAGAGUGGAACUUGCAUUAUGUAUAUCUGAGGCUAUUGCAAUGGGGUCAGAUUUUAGUACAUAUUUAAAUAUUUAACACAACUUUUAAAAUCAAAUUUAUUAUAACAUUCUUCUUAAUUUCCCCUAAUCUUUCUUUUGUUUCAAUCUGUAAAGGUUUAGCCUUCCUAGUUAAUAAUGUCUAAAACAGUCCUAGACUUUCGUAUCACUACCUUAAAGCAGCGUGCCCAUCACACAAGCCUGGUAGGUAGACCAUAUUCUUGGUAUUGGUUAUUAGCAUCGUAUUCUUCCCUACCCUUUUGGAGAAGCGAGCCAUUACGCUAUAUCCAUCCCUCCAAGCACUGUGAUUGGAGUGUGUUGGGUGAGAUUCUAACUCCCAAUGAUCAAGAUCCAGUUCCUUUCCUUCCUUCCUCUCCCCCAUCCUGGCACUUAUAUUAUGUUGUUCAUAUUUUUUUCUAUCAUUUUAGAGAUGGGCUGACUUUUUUAUAAAAUAAAAUAUAAAACAAUCUCCAAAGAGCUUUGGUGGGGGGUAUUUAUUUUGGAUCACUUUAAGCAGGCCCCACUUGGGUCUGAACACAGUCACUUCAGGAUUCUGAUGAAGCAGUUGCACAGCCCUAGUAGACAACACUGAGUAAGGGAGAUCUGUAGUCUGAUUCAGUGUAAUCUAGCUUCCUGUUUCUAGCAGGAUUUUUUUUUUUUAAAAAAAGUCUGUCUCAGAUUCCACCAAUGGUAAGCCCCCAACAAAACACUUUGUAAAUAUUCAUUUCUCCCCAAAUAGCCUUGUUUUUUAUAUGCCUUUUGUCCCUGCCCUGACAAACCUCAAGAUACAGCAUUCUGUACAGAACUUUCAACUCAGCCUUUAAUAUUGUACUCUUCCCUAUUUGUUGCAUUUUUUUUUCAGGUUUAGUUCAGCAUUGGUGAGGGUUGCCCUCUACUAGUUUUAAAUUCUAAAAAGGAAUCAGGAUUACCAUCUAACAGCACCUGAACAGAAAGUAGGGAUGAGGAACAUCAACGAAUGGCAUACCAUAGGGUUUCUCAAACGAAAAGUAUUGCUAUCCCACAUCAACCUGUUCUGUUUAGCAGAUGUCUUUUUCUCUUUUUCUUUCUUAAAAAUGUUUUCCAAAGCAAUAACUUAUUAUACCAUAGUAAAACAAGGUGUUGCUGCUGAAGCAAAUGACAAAUGACUUACUCAAAAAGAUAGCUGUAGCUGCUAAGCUUAAGUUGAUACAGGCUAGCAGCAGCUCCUUUUCUUUCUGAGAGAACAUAUGAUGGUUAUCUAGUAUUUGAAAUCUCUUCUGCUAUGCCUGAUGUUCAGAAAGCAGGUGAAUGGUAAUGUAGUCCCAUUCUACUGAAGUAGAUGACAUACUGGAGAGGGUAUAAACUGAGCUGAGAGUGAAUAGACUUCCAACGUUCUACUAUAUGUUGUUUUUGUAGCUAGAUGUUUCCAAUGCUCAACCUAAGUGGAUGGCUGAGAAGGAUGCAUUGUACCAGGACCCAGAGAUGGGGCAGAUACCAUGCUUGAGCUCUGAUGACAGAAAAGUCCCGCGUAAUUUUAAAAAUGUAGAAAAAGUAAAUUUAGAAUGAAAUUAGACCAUUUUCUUUCAUGACACAUGCAUUGCUAUGUGUGGGGAAUGGGGACUGUGCUUCAAGCUUGUACUGAGUCUUAAAAAAAUGCUUAGGACCUGGAUGUAUGAGUGGUUUCUUCUGUUUUGAUCUAUUUUGCUCAGAAAUGGCACAUCAUGUUUUUAUUAGAAUCUGCUCAGAUUAUACACACACACACGCACACACACACACCACAAUGCCAGUAUUAGUAUGUGCCUCCUCAAAUCUGAGUUUUCAGGAGCUGCCACUCUCAUGUCAAAACCUUGAAAUUAUCCUUGCACAGCAAGGCUGUCUUGGAAAUAUGGUCUACAUACAGUAAUAUGCUGGAUCAGCUCCAAUUAAAUUACAUGUUUACCAAACAGUAUUGCAGAAUGAGCAUAUUAAUGUUUCAGAGGGCAAUUCAUAAAAGAUGUAACAUGUUCUGAGAUUAUUUUCAAGUUCUAUUCACUUGCUUUUUGUAAAAUGAAAGAUACACGUAGAACAAAAUCUAUACCCCCAUGACUUCCCUAACGUACCUAUUCCAGAAAAAGAUUAAUAAGUUUAACAUAUGAAAGCUCUUUUUCUGUUUCUCAGCAGAAUGACAUAUUAAAAGUCCCACAAGUCAAGGCAACUCUUGCCUAUGACCCUUUUAAACUCUUCCACUGUAAACAACAUGGUUCAUUGCACCUCCUCCUUCCCUCUCAGAACAGCUGAACAUGCAGCAGCUGGCAGUUCCUGGCAUAGAAAAUCAUGAGAGUUAUAUAAGUACCUUAAUCCUUCCAUGUUGCUUCCUGAUUGGCACUUAAAAUGUAGUGACUCAGCCACUGAUGUAUGAUCCCACAACAGUAAUAUGCAAUUUAUGAAGAGCCCCUUUAAGUUCCUCCCUUUUCAUCAGCGAAAAGCUUUUCUUACGCUUCAUCUCAAGAAAUCUCAACACUGUAAUGACUGGCAAAACCUCUGAUGUCAAAUAGGCUUAAAUGUAUUUGAAAACUAGAAGAAGAAUUGAAGCAGCUCUCUUCAUUCUAUAGGUUACCGCUACUUUUAGAGUUUUCAGUGAAAAGUAUUUCAACUUAGUAUUCUAUAUUUGCAGUGAUAAACUUAUCAGACAUUACUGAUAAGGGUUCAGCAGAAUUUUGAUUUAACUUUAGAUUGAAUAGAAAACUAUCAGUCUUAAUAUAGUGCCUUGAACAAUUUCUGUACAGUUGGGUAUAAACCAGUAGAUUUUUCUGUAAAGAUUUUGUGUAAAAGCUUUACAACUCACUGGGGAAACUUUGAAUGACUUCUGUGUAUUCUACCAUUAGACCUCUAACUUUAAAUCCCUGACCCCCAGUGAGGGUAUGCUAAAAAUGGGUUACAUGCAGUUUCUGACUAAGAAAGUUUUUUCAAAUAGCAAGGUUUCAGAACCUGCUUGAGGAUGUGCGUUUUCCUCUGUCCAUAGCCCCUCUUAGGUAGAAUCUCAACACAUAUAAAAAACGCUGUGAAAAUGCUUUUUAAACAAACAUUUUGAAAAAUACAUUGAAUUUGACAUAAGUGUACUAUCAACAUCCAGUCUAGUGUCUAUAAUGCACUUAAAACAUGCUUAAAACCUUAUAUUUGCAGCUGUAUAGCUGUCUUUAGACUAUUAGGGAACAGUUUCCUAGAUGACUGUAAGAUUGAUCUCCUUCAACCAAAGGUUAAGCAGAAUACAACUUGUACAUAAUUUGGGCAACAGGUUUACAAUUUCUGUCAAUCAGUUGGAAUCAGGAAUUCCUUGGGGUCAUUCCAAAUACACUCUUUGGUUUCCAAGUUCACAGAAGAACAGCAGUGGCACCUUGUAUUAAAUCUGUCACUGACUUUGCUAUUAACUCUUCUUAGGUAAGGUUUUGUUUCUAUUUUAUCUCCAAGGUUUUUCCAUCCAGGAGAAGCAGUGAGUGAACAAGCUGAAAAGACAAGUGUGACUUAAGUGCUUAAGUGACAUUAUGAACACUACUUCAUGUGUCAUGUUUGUUUCUUUAAAAUGCAAAGUGUGUCAUCUGCUAUCCUGGAGCUGUCCAUGGUCUAGCAGAGCAUGCUUUGGACCUUGCUAUCUAUUCUUCCCUUGCAGCCUGCUUUCUGCCUAUUACCGUACUCUUGAUGCUCAAUCUAUUAUUAGUUCCUACCAAUGCUCUGACUCUUCCUCUGCUUUUAGCUUCUUGUUGUACACCUGUAGGGCUUGUCUGUCCACAAAGAUAGCAACAUUUUUCUGUUUGCUUGUUUUGUGUUUCCAACGAGGUGGCUCAGAUAAAAUCAGUUGGGGUUUUUUGCAGGUACUGUAAUGGGUACUUUAUAUGACCAUAACCUUUCCAACAUUCUAUGAGAGAUUAAGACUAUUGCAAAAUACUAGGCACAAAGGUUAAGCUGCCAGUGAACCAGGCUGGGCUGUGAUAUGACCUUUGGGAGUUCUGUUUUCAUGGGUUACUGCUAUUGCUGAAACGAGGGGGCAGGGCUGAAAUCUGAUUUUUGUCCUGGCUGCAAUGCUGCUGUUCCUUCUGUCAUGCCUGGUAAGUUGAUUUAGAAGGAAGGGGGAAGGUGUUUUGAGGAUUGGGUUGGCUAAAUAGGAGGAUCUGGUUUUCAAAAAGUGUUACUAUGUUUAGAUUUGGAGUUUUCGCCAAAGGUGCCUCUCUUCCCAUCUUUGACAUGUGUAUUUAACAAAGACAAUACAUGCAUGCCAUUUUCCAAAUGAUAUUGAAAUCAGUUUUUACAUUUCAAUGAAAGACUAGUGGCUGUAUUCUAACAACAGAUAUAUUCUGGAAUAAAAGCAUUAACAGUUGCUUGCGAAAAUGGCUCUGCUGAUCUCACAUUUCAUUUGGGUUGAGGGGAGAAGCAGAAUGGUUUUUGCAUAGGUCAAAAGCCAAGGACUGUUUCUAUAUGUGGGAUUUAAAUUGCAUUUGAGCCUCCUGUGCUAUUUAUGCUAAUAUCAGAUCACUUAUUCACAUAAAAAAGAAUUUGUAAUAAGGCUGACAUUCUGGUCAAUGUUAGUCUUUAUGAGGGUUUUAAGAAUGUAAAACCUAACUAUAACAGUUUAUCCUUGAAACUAAACUAAAAAUGUAUUUCCAAAUUCCAAACCCAAGAGGAAGGUUCACAGAGUUCUCACUAGAUGGAGCUGGUGCUCCCUUGAAGUCCUUCAGCUUGCUGUAAUUGAAGCAACAAUGAAUGUUCGUUGGGAAUCUUUUUUAUAAAAAAAUGUUUAGUAAAGCAUGUGGCUAAAACCUAAUUCGAAGGGCAUCAAAGUAUUUUCGGAAAGCAAGGCUUCAUAUUUAGGAGGGAGUGAAACUCCUCAACUAAAUCAAUUUGUUUAACUGGAACUUAGAUAAUGCACUGAUGAUGUCAAUAUAAAAAUAUUUUUUGUACAAAUUAAAUACUGAAAGAUAACAUGGAUGGACCAAAUGAUCUCACUGUCUGGAGUUACAGGAACUGGAUGAAAUGUAAUAAUACAAACUGUAAGAUCAUCUGUUUAAAGACUUUUGCUACUUAAUGCAGAAUCAUCUACUGGGAAUGACACAAGAAGAGAGCUGGGGUUCUUCAAAAUUGACCAGACGACUGAAAUGAUGUGGUGCAAUCCCAGAGUAUACUACAUAUGACACUUCAAGUUAGAGAUAAGAAAUUAUUAAAAAUUACAAGAUCUUUUUUGGAAAAGUGUUCUCUCAUUUCAACCACAAUAUAAUCACUGCAGCUGACCUUAUGAGAGGAAGCUGGAAGCUGGACCAGCAAAAUGGAAAGUAUAUAUACACUCUCCCAUUUUUGCUGUCAGGAGAAACAAUUAAUUAAAGACACUUCCACCCAAGCCAAUUCUUCACUUUCCCACACACUUAAAACUCCAACCACAGAACUGUAGAUAUUAGGACUCUGGUUUGCACUUUAAAAAACAAGGUAUUUCCCAAUUCCGUAAAACAUUGUAUAAUUCAGACGAAACAAAUACCAGACAAUGUUUUUAACAAAAUGAUUCAGAAAGAUCUAUCCAAAGUGAAUUUUCCUAUUGGGCGUAGUCUUCAUUAUUUUAAAAACUUAGAACCUCCUGCACAAGUCUGUGCUUUUUAUUUAUAUAUUUGCAGCAGUUUUCAGCUGAAAACUAGAAUUUAAAUUUUUACAAGUAGCCCAUAGUUUAUAAUGCAGUUUUACAUUUUUAAUGGAAUUUCACAAGUCCAAGAGGGCAGUUAUUUGAUUUUCCCCCUCCCAAGUGCAUUAAUAUACAGUUAGAUUACAUUUUUACAAAAAAAAAAAAAA